rnacentral:rRNA from 1 species
GCGUAAAUUACCCAAUUCUGAUUCAGAGAGGUAGUGACAAGAAAUAACGGGUCGGGACUUUGUCCCGGGACUGCAAUGAGAUGAACUUAUACCCCUUUUCGAGUAACAAUUGGAGGGCAAGUCUGGUGCCAGCAGCCGCGGUAAUUCCAGCUCCAAUAGCGUAUAUUAAAGUUGUUGCAGUUAAAAAGCUCGUAGUUGGAUUUCUGGCAGGAUGACUUUGCCCUCUGUAGAGUGCGCAAUGCUGUCCUACCAUCCUUCUGUUAACCCUGGAGGCCUUUAACAGCUUGUAGGGGGCUCAGAUAUUUUACCUUGAGAAAAUUAGAGUGUUUCAGGCAGGCUAGCGCCGGAAUACAUUAGCAUGGAAUAAUAGAAUAGGACUUAAGCCUCUUCUGUUGGUCUGAGGGGUGUAAGUAAUGAUUAAUAGGGAUAGUUGGGG